GAUUCGUUGUAGAAAGGUAAAGACACUUGCCUCUUAAUCUGGAGUCCUGGGUUCAAUUCCCAGUCGAGGAGCU